rnacentral:rRNA from 1 species
AUUGAACGCUGGCGGAAUGCUUUACACAUGCAAGUCGAACGGCAGCACGGGGGCAACCCUGGUGGCGAGUGGCGAACGGGUGAGUAAUACAUCGGAACGUGCCCAGUCGUGGGGGAUAACGUAGCGAAAGUUACGCUAAUACCGCAUACGAUCUACGGAUGAAAGCGGGGGACCGUAAGGCCUCGCGCGAUUGGAGCGGCCGAUGUCAGGUUAGGUAGUUGGUGAGGGAAAGGCUCACCAAGCCGACGAUCUGUAGCUGGUCUGAGAGGACGACCAGCCACACUGGGACUGAGACACGGCCCAGACUCCUACGGGAGGCAGCAGUGGGGAAUUUUGGACAAUGGGCGCAAGCCUGAUCCAGCCAUUCCGCGUGCAGGACGAAGGCCUUCGGGUUGUAAACUGCUUUUGUACGGAACGAAAAGGCUCUGGUUAAUACCUUGGGCUCAUGACGGUACCGUAAGAAUAAGCACCGGCUAACUACGUGCCAGCCGCCGCGGUAA